rnacentral:misc_RNA from 1 species
GAUGAAGAACGCAGCGGAAUGCGAUAAGUAAUGUGAAUUGCAGAAUUCAGUGAAUCAUCGAAUCUUUGAACGCACAUUGCGCCCGCCAGUAUUCUGGCGGGCAUGCCUGUCCGAGCGUCAUUUCAACCCUCGAACCCCUCCGGGGGUCCGGCGUUGGGGAUCGGGAACCCCUAAGACGGGAUCCCGGCCCCGAAAUACAGUGGCGGUCUCGCCGCAGCCUCUCAUGCGCAGUAGUUUGCACAACUCGCACCGGGAGCGCGGCGCGUCCACGUCCGUAAAACACCCAACUUCUGAAAUGUUGACCUCGGAUCAGGUAGGAAUACCCGCUGAACUUAAGCAUAUCAAUAAGCGGAGGA